AUGAGCCCGGGGAGCGGCAAGCUGCGGUGGCUGUGGAGGGCGCCGGCGCGGGCGUUCGGGCGCGCGCGGGACUUCUACGUGCGGAGCAUCACGGGGUGCGCGCGCUACGUCCCCGCCGACGCGGCCUUCGGCGCCUACCCGGUGCUCGUGCCCGCGCCGCUGCCAAGGAGCCAGAGCUGCGGCUCUGGCGCCGACUAUGGCGGCGAGGAGGACCUCCGGGAGCUCAUCCGCGCGGCCUCGCAGAGGCGCGACGGCGAGCAGCAGCGGCAGGCCGACCGUCUCCAUGCCGUGCCCAGGAGCCAGAGCGUGGCGGGGGCGGCGUCCAUGGCGCCGAUCGACGAGGACGCGCCGUGCGAGUUCGCCGCCGGCGCGGGCGCCACGCUCUACUCCCGCAGCCAGAGCUACGCCGGCGGCGCCAUGGGGGCCAGGAAGUCUCACUGCCACAGCAAGGCGUCGGUCUUGGGCUGA
rnacentral:rRNA from 1 species